rnacentral:rRNA from 1 species
UACGGAGGGUGCGAGCGUUGUCCGGAAUCACUGGGCGUAAAGGGCGCGUAGGCGGCUCGUUAAGGGUGCGGUGAAAGCCCGGGGCUUAACCCCGGGUCGGCCGUGCCGACUGAUGAGCUCGAGCACUGUAGAGGCAGGUGGAAUUCCGGGUGUAGCGGUGGAAUGCGUAGAGAUCCGGAAGAACACCAGUGGCGAAGGCGGCCUGCUGGGCAGUGGCUGACGCUGAGGCGCGACAGCGUGGGGAGCAAACG